rnacentral:rRNA from 1 species
AAUCAACGCUGGCGGCGUGCCUCAGACAUGCAAGUCGAACGAGAAAGUCCCCUUCGGGGGAUAAGUAAAGUGGCGCACGGGUGAGUAACACGUAGGUAAUCUACCUUCGGGUGGGGAAUAACCCAGGGAAACUUGGGCUAACACCGCAUAAUGCAGCGGCACCACAUGGUGACAGUUGUUAAAGCGGGGGAUUUCGACCUCGCGCCUGAGAGGAGCCUGCGGCGGAUUAGCUAGUUGGUAAGGGACGGCCUACCAAGGCAACGAUCCGUAGCCGGCCUGAGAGGGCGGGUCGGCCACACUGACACUGACAUACGGGUCAGACUCCUAC